GGUGAACGCUGGCGGCGUGCCUAAUACAUGCAAGUCGAGCGAACGGACGAGAAGCUUGCUUCUCUGAUCUUAGCGGCGGACGGGUGAGUAACACGUGGAUAACCUACCUAUAAGACUGGGAUAACUUCGGGAAACCGUAGCUAAUACCGGAUAAUAUUUUGAACCGCAUGGUUCAAAAGUGAAAGACGGUCUUGCUGUCACUUAUAGAUGGAUCCGCGCUGCAUUAGCUAGUUGGUAAGGUAACGGCUUACCAAGGCAACGAUGCAUAGCCGACCUGAGAGGGUGAGCGGCCACACUGGAACUGAGACACGGUCCAGACUCCUACGGGAGGAAGCAGUAGGGAAUCUUCCGCAAUGGGCGAAAGCAUGACGGAGCAACGCCGCGUGAGUGAUGAAGGUCUUCGGAUCGUAAAACUCUGUUAUUAGGGAAGAACAUAUGUGUAAGUAACUGUGCACAUCUUGACGGUACCUAAUCAGAAAGCCACGGCUAACUACGU
rnacentral:rRNA from 1 species